rnacentral:rRNA from 1 species
CGCAUCUGUGCAUGCAGCAUAUCAAUAAGCGGAGGAAAAGAAACUAACAAGGAUUCCCCUAGUAACGGCGAGUGAAGCGGGAAGAGCUCAAAUUUGAAAUCUUAAAGGGUUUCCCUUUACGAAUUGUAGUUUAAAGAAGUGUUUUCUGUUGAGGUUUUGGUAAAAGUUCUUUGGAAUAGGACAUCAUAGAGGGUGAGAAUCCCGUAUUUGACCUUUACUUUCAACUUUGUGAUAGCACUUUCAAAGAGUCGGAUUGUUUGGGAAUGCAGUCCAAAAUGGGUGGUAAAUUUCAUCUAAAGCUAAAUAUUGGCGAGAGACCGAUAGCGAACAAGUACCGUGAGGGAAAGAUGAAAAGAACUUUGAAAAGAGAGUUAAACAGUACGUGAAAUUGUCAAAAGGGAAGCGUUUGACACCAGUGUUGUUUUUCUGAAAAUCAAUUAAAGAACUGUUUAUGCUAAGUUGUUUAGACUUUAUCAGCUAUCUGUUUAGUUUUGAGCUUUUCUUUAAUGCACUUUCAGUUAACAAGUCAACAUCAAUUUCUUUUGCUGUAAAAAGCUUGAGGAAGGUGGCUUGAGAUUCGUCUUAAGUGUUUAUAGCCUCUUGCCUAUGCAGUCGGAGAGAUUGAGGUCUGCAGCGUAGAUCCUUCGGGGCUAAAUGCAUUUGUGCUAAGUUAUAACAUUUUAUAGACAACUUGUUGACUAUGAUUUGUCUUGUAGCUUACUCGCUUAUGUUAUUUUACCUACGCUUAGGAUGUUGACAGCAGUAUAGACUGU